GCCUACGGGCUGUGGGCGGGGCUGCUUUACAGGGAUCACGUCAUGCGGAGGGGUGGGGUUUUCCCUAGGCAGCCUCCGCAUGCUGCUCAGGCUCCAGCUCGUAGUGCGGGGCGCUGGGUCUCUGCACACGGUUCCCCAGCUGAACUGUCGCGCUGCCUUUUCGCACUAGGAACGCUGGUCUGAAGUGCCAGAUGCAAGGCUUCUACACAUAGCACCCCACGAGCAAGUGAAAAAGUGUGGGUUCUCCAGAUCUGCCAAGAUCCACAGUCAGCAACCUAGAGAUCCAGAAGAACAAAAUGUGUAAGUUCCAGUCCAAGUCCAGAGGCCUGAGAAGCAGGAAUGCACAUAGUGUUAGAAGUUUCCAUCUAAAUAUAAAGGUAGGAGAAGACCAAUGUCCCAGCUCAAAGGCAGAAUCCUUUUAUUUUAUUCAGGCCAUUGACAGAUCAGAUGAGGCACCGCAACACUGGGGAGAGAGAGUAACAAGGAGUUCAUAGACACAGCAGCUCAUCCUCUUGAAUCUGGGCUAGACGUCUGACUGUUUUGACCAACUGAAUGUGGCAAAAGUGACAGUGUGCCAGUUUGAAACCCAGUCUUUAAGAAGCUAGGAGUUUCCAUUUCCUUCUUGGAAUCAGUUGCCAUGCCAUUGGGAAGCCCAAGCAGACACGUGGAGUGAUUCAUACUGACGAGAAAUGAAGCCCUGGGCUGACAGUUCUCAGCUGACAGUGAAUGACAAUUUGCCAACCACGUGAGUGAAUCACCUUGUAAUGGGUCCUCCAGGACCAGUAGAAGCACCCCAAACUGAUGUCAUUUGGCUCAGAGAUACGUGGCUUUACAAAGCCCCACCCAAACUGCCAAAUUGGAGCAAAUAAAUGACUAUUUGAAACAAU
ensembl:lncRNA